CUGAGUAAUUUUAAAAUUCUCAUUCCAUAACCUAAGAAUCAGAAAAAGAUACUGUGGGAUUUUUUCUAGGAGGAGUCAGGGGAGUAAAAACGAGGCUGGCAUUCUGGACUUGCAUAGUCGAGAGAGCUACUGGUGUGAGGAAGCUGAUGGAAACCCAGCGCUGGCUUUCCAGGAAGAACCUCAUCCUACAACUCCCUCUCCUCCUUUUGAAUGGUUUCUCAAUUACUUCGGGUGAGUUUGGGCAGUGCUUUAUCCUGACCUAAAGUUUCCUCAAGAUCUUUCCAGGCCAGGCACGGUGGCUCAUGCCUGUAAUCCCAGCACUUUGGGAGGCUGAGGUGGGUGGAUCACCUGAGGUCAGGAGUUCGAGACCAGCCUGACCAAUAUGUUGAAACCCUGUCUCUACUAAAAUUACAAAAAUUAGCCAGGCAUGGUGGCGUGUGCCUGUAGUCCCAGCCACUUGAGAGGCUGAGGCAGGAGAAUUGCUUGAACCCGGGAGGUGGAGGUUGCAGUGAGCUGAGAUCGCACCACUGCACUCCAGCCUGGGUGACAGAGCAAGACUCUGUCUCAAAAAAAAAGGAAAAAAAAAUCUUUCCAAAAUAAAGAAGAAUCAGAAAUUUACGUAAAGAAUAUUGUUUAUGAUUUAUCUUGUUUUAUAUUUAGUUAACC
rnacentral:lncRNA from 1 species